CCUGCGAACGGGCAUGCUCGGGGAACGAGAUUGCAUUGAACAGAAUAUUAACCCUUUAAGUGGCAAUUUGCUUUACUUUUUUACUUUUUCUGUCUAAUGUGGUCAGACAAUUUUUGCUCAUUAAGGAGAGAGUGCUGCCACUUAAUGGGUUAAAGCUUUUCUGUAAAUGUAAAUUUUUUGAACGAUAACUAUAUAAUACUGUGCUGGGAAUGGAACCUGCUGCCCUGUGAUUCUGAUCAGCUUUUUAACCGUCAAGGGUCCUCAAGCCCUAAGAGUCCAUCGCCCUGAGAGUCAAUCAAGCUCUACUGUAACCAAGAGUUCAUGUACAUAAUACUAGUGUCAUCAUGGGCAGUUUAUUUAAUACACUACCAAUGACACCACCAUGGUAUAUAUACAGCAACUUGUGGUUACCUCUUGGCAAAAGGGCUCUUUAGGUCAGAAGGCUGUGGUAGAAUUGCAGUGCUGCAGGUUCAAUUCAUGCUGACAGGCUUGUAAUUGUAUUCCACAUGUAUUCAUGAUAUCAUUCUAAUGAAAAUUUCAUUUUAGAACUGCAUUAAAUAUUAUAGGGCGUAAGAGUAUAUCAUUAUAUUAUGCUACAGCAAAUUGUAUUUCCUGCUAUAAUAUACCUUACUUGUAGGGAUAAUAAAUUAUUUUGACUCGAAAAA
rnacentral:lncRNA from 1 species